rnacentral:rRNA from 1 species
AUGGACUGUGGCCUAUCUGAUUUGGGGUACUCGGGCCCGAAGUUUACUUGGUGUAACAAGCAAGAUCCCAAUAGCAAUGUUCGGUGUCGUCUUGAUCGUGCUGUGUCUAAUGCUGCGUUUUCCAGCCUCUUUUCUGAAUGCAGCGUGGAGAAUGUCAUUGCUACCACGUCCGAUCAUUACCCCAUCCGCAUGUCUCUGGACAAUCUGUCCCAUCAGCGCCGUCCGGCUCCAGUACAGCACGGUUUCAGGUUCGAGGCUAUGUGGUUGCGGGCGUCUGACUAUAAAUAAACCCUCGAACAAGCAUGGUCUACUGGAAGGGCUGGGCUCUCCUCUCUAAGCUCUACUUGGGCAAGUUUGACAAGUGUGGCUGCCUCUCUUCGCACAUGGAGCAGGGAGUCCUUUGGCUCCAUUUGCAAGCAGAUUGGGAAGAUGGAGUGCCGUCUGGCGUCAAUCAGAUCCUCCCCUCCUUCCCCAGCUUCCUAUUCUGAAGAGCGACAUAUCGAGACUCAACUCUGUGAGAUGUUUGAACGGGAGGAAAUUAUGGAGAGGCAGCGUUCGCGGGUGGAUUGGCUGAAAUCUGGCGAUCGUAAUACAGAGUUUUUCCAGGCCAGAGCGUCGGCUAGGCGGAGGACUAACAGGAUCCAUUCGCUCCUUCGGGAGGAUGGUUCGGUUUGUAGCGCUCAAGGGCAGCUUAAGGGCAUGGUUCAAUCUUUCUAUGAAGAUCUCUUCACGUUCGAACCCCGACCAGCAGCUGAUGAGGUUGUGCAGGCUAUCCCUAGCAAGGUUUCUUCU